CAGCCGCCGCGGUAAUACCGGCGGCCCGAGUGGCGGUCACUAUUAAUGGGCUUAAAGCGUCCGUAGCCGGGUUGGGAAGUCCUCCGGGAAAUCUGGCCGCUUAACGGUCAGAAUGCCGGAGGAUACUCCCAGCCUAGGGAGCGGGGGAGGCCGAGGGGAUUCCCGGAGUAGGGGGGAAAUCCUAUAAUUCCGGGGGGACCACCUGUGGGGAAGGCGCUCGGCUGGAACGCGUCCGACGGUGAGGGACGAAGGCCAGGGGAGCAAACCGGAUUAGAUACCCGGGUAGUCCUGGCUGUAAACGAUGCGGACUUUGUGUCGGACAAGCUAUGAGCUUGUCCGGUGCCGGAGGGAAACCGUUAAGUCCGCCGCCUGGGGAGUACGGCCGCAAGGCUGAAACUUAAAGGAAUUGGCGGG
rnacentral:rRNA from 1 species